CCUACGGGAGUCAGCAGUGAGGAAUAUUGGUCAAUGGGCGUAAGCCUGAACCAGCCAAGUCGCGUGCGUGAUGAAGGUUCUAUGGAUCGUAAACCUCUUUUAUAAGGGGAUAAAGUGCGGGACGUGUCCCGUUUUGUAUGUACCUUAUGAAUAAGGAACGGCGAACUCCGUGCCAGCAGCCGCGGUACUACGGAGGAGACGAGCGUUAUCCGGAUUUAUUGGGUUUAAAGGGUGCGUAGGCGGCCUUUUAAGUCAGCGGUGAAAGUCUGUGGCUCAACCAUAGAAUUGCCGUUGAAACUGGGAGGCUUGAGUAUGGUUGAGGCAGGCGGAAUGCGUGGUGUAGCGGUGAAAUGCUUAGAGAUCACGCAGAACCCCGAUUGCGAAGGCAGCCUGCCAAGCCAUGACUGACGCUGAUGCACGAAAGCGUGGGGAGCAAACAGGAUUAGAUACCCCAGUAGUC
rnacentral:rRNA from 1 species